rnacentral:rRNA from 1 species
UACAGAGGUGGCAAGCGUUGUUCGGAAUUACUGGGCGUAAAGGGCGCGUAGGCGGCCCGUCAAGUCCCGUGUGAAAGCCCCCGGCUCAACCGGGGAACGGCGCGGGAAACUAGCAGGCUUGAGUUCGGGAGAGGGAAGCGGAAUUCCGGGUGUAGCGGUGAAAUGCGUAGAUAUCUGGAGGAAUACCGGUGGCGAAGGCGGCGAUCCUAGGACCGACAUUGACGGCUGAUGAGCGAAAGCUAGGGAGCAAACGGG